rnacentral:rRNA from 1 species
GUCUACGGCCAUGCCACCCUGAACAAACCCGAUCCCAUAUGAUCCCAGAAGCUAAGCAGGGUCAGGCCUGGUUAGUACUUGGAUGGGAGACCACCUAGGAAGACCAAGUGCUGUAGGCG